rnacentral:rRNA from 1 species
GACGAACGCUGGCGGCGUGCUUGACACAUGCAAGUCGAACGGAAAGGCCUCUUUCGGGGGGUACUCGAGUGGCGAACGGGUGAGUAACACGUGAGUAACCUGCCCUUGACUUUGGGAUAACUUCAGGAAACUGGGGCUAAUACCGGAUAGGAGCUCCUGCUGCAUGGUGGGGGUUGGAAAGUUUCGGCGGUUGGGGGUGGACUCGCGGCUUAUCAGCUUGUUGGUGGGGUAGUGGCUUACCAAGGCUUUGACGGGUAGCCGGCCUGGGAGGGUGACCGGCCACAUUGGGACUGAGAUACGGCCCAGACUCCUACGGGGGGCAGGAGUGGGGAAUAUUGCAACAUGGGUGGAAGCCUGAUGCAGCAACGCCGGGUGCGGGAUGACGGCCUUCGGGUUGUAAACCGCUUUCGCUCAGGACGAAGCUUUGUGUGACGGUAGUGGGUAAAGAAGCACCGGCUAACUACGUG